GAUUGUUUAGUCUAAUAAAGACUCUUGUUUUGAAAACAAGCUAUAAAAGUUUAAAUCUUUUAACAUUCU
rnacentral:tRNA from 1 species